UAAUGCAGAUUUGUGAAAAAAUGAAUUCACUACUGAUUUAUACAUCGUAAAAAUAGCAAAGCCUUUUAUUUAAAAAACAAAACAAAACAAAACAUCUUUUGAAGUAGGUUUACUACAAGUCAGGGCAGCAUACUGAAAAACUGUCAAAAUCAUAGUAAGGUUGAGUGCAAUAUCCAAAUAUUUCCAAUAUUUCUGCAUAGUGCAGAGAUGUCCUGACCUACCAAUUUUGUCCUCUAUUUAAAAAAAAAAAAAAAAAAAGAUUGUUUAAAAUAGAUUCUGAAAAAAUGUCCCAAGUUUUUUCACAAUUUUUCAAAUGUUUAUGAAACUUGUGAUGCAAAAAUGAUCACACAACAUCUGGUUCAAUAAUCAUAACACAUACACACAUAUUGUGAAGUCUUAAUUUGUAUGGUGUUUUUGUGUAGUCAUCGUGUGAAUGCACACUCAUUUUGUGUUUCUCAUUGUAGGUGGGAACAAGCGAAGACAUCAACUGAGAAGAAAGAUUGCUGUUGAGAAGAAAGCCUUGGAAGUUGCCAUCAAUGACCACAAUGCUACUGUGGGGGAAGUUGAAAAACUGCCUCCUCCCAAUGAACUCCUGGCUGUGGACAACUACUCCUGGCCAUGGGAAUGUCAUGGUGAUAUGGAGCAGAAAAAUUUUUUUUGACAAGGUAAUGCUGCUGGCUAGACUGAAAGAAGAAGAAUUUAUUGUGGUUCGCGAAGUCAAGCAGCACAUGGAGUACAUGAGGAGUGUUGCUGGACUGAUAGAAGAGUUUACCUUUCAGCUCACUGAAGACACCAGUGGGAAAUGCAGUACAGAGGGCUUAAUGGAGAAAGGAGGUGAGGGACUACUCUGUGUGCUGAAGAGAAGAUUGCGUGAAGUUGAAGCACAACUGGUUACAGCACGCACAACAUACAAAAGUAUUCUUGGACUGCAAACAUUGCCCUUAGAUGACUUUUCUGAAGAGGAAGACUCAGAAAAUACUUCCUCAACUGAUGAGGAACUGGGAGAGUAGUUAUUAGGCAGAUGAUGUCUAUGACUCUAAUAAGAUGUCUUCACAUUGUGUUGAACCCAAACGUCAGUGCUGUAAUAACUUGUAUGUGAAACCUGAGGUUAUUUUACUGCUGUUGUAAGAUUUCUUUGUGUUUAGAGCAUAUACUGCAAAUUUCUCUGAAACUGUAAAAACCCAUUAUGUUAGCCCAUUAGUCCCCACCCUCUGCCCCAACCCAAUCACUGGUGAUUCACAACUGUCUUUUUUUUUUUUUUUUUAGCAUUACAUUUUUGGUCUAAAUGUAUUGCGCAUCCCUACAUAGCUUCACUAUAGUUUGUAUAUAUUCUACCUACUGUAGUUUACAUAACCUAUUGUAUUGUUACUCUCUCCAACAGUGUGCUAUUCCAGCUUAUGUUUCCACGUUAGUAUAUUAAUACUCACUCACUCUCACACACUCACUCUCUCACUCGCUCACACACACACACACACACACACACACUCACACACACACACACAUACAUACACUCACUCUCUCACACACACUCUCACUAUCUCGUUCACACACUCUCACACACGCGCGCACACACACACACCCCUACCUAUCUAAAUAUAUAUAGUCUUUA
ensembl:lncRNA